rnacentral:rRNA from 1 species
GAUGAACGCUGGCGGCGUGCCUAAUACAUGCAAGUCGAGCGAACAGACGAGGAGCUUGCUCCUCUGACGUUAGCGGCGGACGGGUGAGUAACACGUGGAUAACCUACCUAUAAGACUGGGAUAACUUCGGGAAACCGGAGCUAAUACCGGAUAAUAUAUUGAACCGCAUGGUUCAAUAGUGAAAGACGGUUUUGCUGUCACUUAUAGAUUGAUCCGCGCCGCAUUAGCUAGUUGGUAAGGUAACGGCUUACCAAGGCAACGAUGCGUAGCCGACCUGAGAGGGUGAUCGGCCACACUGGAACUGAGACACGGUCCAGACUCCUACGGGAGGCAGCAGUAGGGAAUCUUCCGCAAUGGGCGAAAGCCUGACGGAGCAACGCCGCGUGAGUGAUGAAGGUAUUCGGAUCGUAAAACUCUGUUAUUAGGGAAGAACAAAUGUGUAAGUAACUAUGCACGUCUUGACGGUACCUAAUCAGAAAGCCACGGCUAACUACGUG